GUCCGCAUGGCGCAGUCGGAAGUGCGCGCGGCACCAAACUGAUAGUUGCAGGUUCGACCCCCACUGAUGUCA